rnacentral:rRNA from 1 species
AGGACGAACGCUGGCGGCGUGCUUAACACAUGCAAGUCGAGCGGUAAGGCCUUUCGGGGUACACGAGCGGCGAACGGGUGAGUAACACGUGGGUGAUCUGCCCUGCACUUCGGGAUGAGCCUGGGAAACUGGGUCUAAUACCGGAUAUGACCUCCUAUCGCAUGGUGGGUGGUGGAAAGAUUUAUCGGUGCAGGAUGGGCCCGCGGCCUAUCAGCUUGUUGGUGGGUAAUGGCCUACCAAGGCGACGACGGGUAGCCGACCUGAGGGGGUGACCGGCCACGACUGGGACUGAGACACGGCCCAGACUCCUACGGGAGGCAGCAGUGGGAAUAUUGCACAAUGGGACGAAAGCCUGAUGCAGCGACGCCGCGUGAGGAUGGACGGCCGUUCGGGUUGUAAACCUCUUUCAGCCGAGGACGAAGCGCAAGUGACGUACUGCGAGAAGAGCACCGGCUAACGACGUGACCAGCCAGCCGACGGUAAUCGUAGACGCGGCGUGGAC